rnacentral:lncRNA from 1 species
ACUCGUAUUACAUCUUACCAUUUCUUAUCACCCAAAAGCUCUUGGACAACAGAAGUUAGACAAACCCCUCAGUUCCUAGAUUAGAUAAGAAAAAGAUCAUUAAAGAAGUCUUUAUACAAACUGUUGUGUAAUAUAAAUCAAUUGGCAUAAACAUGUAACCACCAUUGGUUAAGUGUAGAAAUGACCAAGUAAGUAGAUUAGUUAACUCGUCAAAAACAGGUGGCCAUCUCAACCCAUUGCGUUAUGAAUGUAUUAAAAAGGUGUUAACUACUGCAAUCUGUGAUGUGUUUUCUCUCAAACGGGUCAACCAACUCAGCUAGUUUGAACGAUUACCUUAAUUGCCAAGAGAGAUGGAUUGGAAAAUAA